GCGCUAAUGGAUGAGCCUAAGUCGGAUUAGCUUGUUGGUGGGGUAAAGGCCUACCAAGGCGACGAUCCGUAGCUGGUCUGAGAGGACGAUCAGCCACACUGGGACUGAGACACGGCCCAG
rnacentral:rRNA from 1 species